AUUUCUCUUAAUUGCUAGAGAUUUUAAACACUUUUUCAUAUAGUUUUUGACCAUUUAUAUUUCUUCUUCUGUGAAAUGCCUGUUCAGUUCCUUUGACCAUUUAUUGAUUGGAUUAUCUAAGUUUUCUAUCCAAAAUAGAUUGGUCAUUCUUGUUAGUCACACACAGUAUUUUCUGCAGGAUUUUACUUGAAAUUUUAACCUGAAUUACUACUUUGUGAUUCUCAACAAAAGCAGACCUGACAUGGUUGAUAUUUGGAGAGUAAGGAACAAUUAUUCAUCCUUUCUCAAGGUAGUAUGUUUUGUUGGGUUAAGUUAGAUACUCAGAAUGCAGCAUUCUCAGACAGGGUUUAUUACCAUCUCUAACUCACCAGGCAUUUAUCUUCCAUGGUCUGCCUUCAGGGCAUUUGUUGGUGAGCUGCAGAGUGUGUUGGGAGGCCGUCCUGAGCCCACUCUCCAGGGCCUCUGGCCUUUGUGUUGGACUCAUUCAACUAACUGGUUUUAGAAUUUCAGAAUCUUUAUUGGCUGUCCUAGGAAUGGUAAAGAUGGAUGAAAGAGAAGACCAGCGGGCCAAGUAGGUGCUGGGAGGCAUGGUGACUCAGAGCCUUUGACUUCUCACUGGGCUUAUCAGGCUAUUGAGUGCUUUUGUCUGUUGAUAUUUUUGACUCAGGUGGAUUUGCUGGGAAGCAGCCUUCUUGCAAGUCCAGGGCCUCUGUUCCCAGGAUGUCAGAAAAAUUCCUGCUCCCACUUCUCUAUCGAGCCCUGGACGUCCAGCUUAACCUAAGCAGAAGCCCUGGGCAUGCGUGUUCUUUGAGCCCUUAACCUUCACCGUCACCACUCCUUCAAGUACCUCUCUUGAUCUGGUACUGCCCUUGACUUCCCACAGCCACUUCACAGUCACCAGCUUCUAUCCCAAGCCUGUUCACAUGUACUUACUUUCUUCAAAUGACCCUUAGUCAUUUCUGUGUUUUGCAUUAUGCGAGGUCCAGAAAUUUGUUAGGAAUUGCCAAUCUCUGAGUGUUCUGCAGCAGUCAUUGCUAUGAAGAUUCAGGUACACCAGUGGGGACUUUCUGGAAUCUUUUUUGUUCCUAUAGAUUGUAUUAUGGUUUUGUUUUAUAUUAAUAAAAUAGUGAAAAGGGGCUUAGGAAAAGCUGUUUCAGCUCUUCUUUAAAAUGUUUAUAAAUACCUCCCCCGACAGUUUAGAGUGCCCUGACAGAUGUCACAUGAUCAUGAGGAACAGUAGAAACACCUCCUGUGCUGGGAAGGCAGAAGGAAUUGUACUUCAGUCCUUCAACUGUGACCUAAAGUGACUCUGGACUUGACGGGAGAAUAGCCGGGAACUGCAAGGUGACAACAUAAAACCCCAAGGAAACGGAAGUGCAGUGGGUGUGGAGGCUGACCUCUGCUGACCUCUCAGCAGUGUGGGGCCCCUGACUGAGGCGAUCCUGGGAAUCCAGCAUGGGCUCAGCUGUUCCUCUGUAGGAGACGGUGAUGCCUGCUCCAGCGUGCAGUGCUUCUGCACAGAGAGGUUCCACACAGCAUUCUGUUCUUCAAAAGGUCCUGCCACUGGGGACAUCUGAGAACCGACACUGUGGCACGGACACCAGUCUGCGCUCAGGGGCUGCGGUUUCCAUCCUGGCUCUGACCAGGCCAGCGCCUGACUCCCUGUGACGCGGGCACAUGGGCGAUGGUCGGAGUCCAUGGAGUGCCUGGCGCUUGCUGUGGACGGUGUGGUGCCAGUUCCCGUCCAUGCUGCUGUGUGGUGGUGCUGGCUUUAUGUCAGAAGAGUGGACGAGCAGGGGCCCUGGAGGCUGUCAGCGCUCGGGGACCGCAGUGCGCGUCAAGAGUGAAGAGCACUUGGAUACCGUAGAGUCCUUCCAUCUGGGAGUGUCAGUGGAGUGUCGUCUACACAGGGUGCUCCACGCUGCAGAGUGGCAGGAGGAGAAGGCCGCUGAAAUUGCCCUCACAUCACUCCUGUCCUUUAUCUUCCACCUGAUCACCUGUGGCCAUCCAGCUGUGACACUUCUUCACAUGCCCCUCCACCCACCUGUGACAUCACACACUGCUUUUGGUCCCUGGAGCCCUGGGCAUGAAACCUAAAUGAGAGACGGUGCAGGAGAGAGGUGGCCCCUGCAGGUGUCCAGUCCUCCUGAGGGAGCGGAGUUGGACACUGCUGGGGAGACACGGUGGGUGUCUGCCUCGCACACUCGCACACAGGCCCCAGGGCAUGUGGCUGGGCGUGACCUAUGCUCGUGCAAGGCACUUCAGGUUCCCGUGGCCCGCCAGCCUCGAACCUGCAUGGAGCAGGUGACAUUCAGAAAAGACUUCUCUCCUGGCCAGCUUGACUUCCAGUCAGUGUGCUGGUCCCCAAGGUCACUGGGACAUCCCGCAGACUCCGACCACCAGCAGCGCGCUGAGCGAAGUGUGGCUUCCGUCGGUGUCCUUAGGACUCCAUUUCACCCUUCAAAAUUCGGGAGCAGGAGGGCGGGAACAGCUGGGCGGUUCUCCAGGCCCUGAGCUGUGUCCUGCCCUCUUACGUUGUUAUCUGAGUUCACGCUGCGAGCCCUCAACUGCAGAGACAGAGCUGCAGGUUUUGAAAGUGUAAAAGAAAAACACGACAUUUUUCUUGAUGGUAUUUCUAAUUUUCAAAAUCCUGCUUCACCUCAUGACAACGGACCUCAGCCCUGUGCACCGGGCCCUAACCUCUCCAGUUCCUCGCACGGGGACAGGCUUGCGACGGCUUCUCUGCGGGGGAGGCGAACCUUUGCUUUUCAACCUGGAGAACUGGUUUGCAGAACCUUUCCAGCCCUGGACUUGUGAGUGGGCAGCCUCAGCACUGCGGUUCAUAGACACCACGUGAACGCUCUCAUUUAAUUGUGCUUCUGACAGUUCUGGGGGCGGUGACAGCUGACCACUUCUGUGGAGCAGGUAGGCAGACCUAUUCUCUGCAGACGGGACCCGUGCAUCAGAAGGCCACGCAGAAGUCUCCCAGGAGCACGUGUGGGCAGAGCUUGAGUCCAGGUGGGGCCAGUGUGGGGCUUUGUGGACACGAGUGGCGUGGUGGUGUGGUGUGUGUAUCUUGUGAAUUGUGUUGUGUGUGUCAUCUGUGUUGUGUGUAUCAUGUA